rnacentral:rRNA from 1 species
CGGAGGAAAAGAAACUAACAAGGAUUCCCCUAGUAACGGCGAGUGAAGAGGGAAAAGCCCAAGAUUGAAAGCUGGCGUCUUCGGCGUCCGCAUUGUAAUCUCAAGAAGUGUUUUCCGCUUCGGACCAAGCCUAAGUUUCCUGGAAAGGAGCAUCGUAGAGGGUGAAAAUCCCGUACAUGGUUUGGAGCGCCCGGAGCUUUGUGAUACAUUUUCUAAGAGUCGAGUUGUUUGGGAAUGCAGCUCAAAAUGGGUGGUAAAUGCCAUCUAAGGCUAAAUAUUGGGGAGAGACCGAUAGCGAACAAGUACAGUGAUGGAAAGAUGAAAAGAACUUUGAAAAGAGAGUUAAACAGUACGUGAAAUUGCCAAAAGGGAAGGGUAGGAGGUCAGAGAUGGGGCCUGGGAUUCAGCCUUGCUUUUGCUCGGUGUAUUUCCCAAGUCACAGGCCAACGUCGGUUUUGGACACUGGAGAAGGGUAAGAGGAAUGUGGCACUCUUCGGAGUGUGUUAUAGCCUCUUACUGGAUGCAGCGGCCGAGACCGAGGAACGCAGCGUACUCGUAAGAGCGGGCCUUCGGGCACCUUUACGCUUAGGGCGUUGGCAUAAUGGCCUUCUACCACCCGUCUUGA